rnacentral:rRNA from 1 species
GAUGAACGCUGGCGGCGUGCCUAACACAUGCAAGUCGAGCGGCAGCGAGGGGUGCUUGCACCCUGUCGGCGAGCGGCGGACGGCUGAGUAACGCGUGGGAACGUGCCCCAAAGUGAGGAAUAACUGCCCGAAAGGGUAGCUAAUACCGCAUAUUAUCUUCGGAUCAAAGGAUUUAUCCGCUUUGGGAGCGGCUCGCGUCGGAUUAGGUAGUUGGUGAGGUAAUGGCUCACCAAGCCGACGAUCCGUAGCUGGUCUGAGAGGAUGACCAGCCAGACUGGAACUGAGACACGGUCCAGACUCCUACGGGAGGCAGCAGUGAGGAAUCUUCCACAAUGGGCGAAAGCCUGAUGGAGCAACGCCGCGUGCAGGACGAAGGCCUUCGGGUUGUAAACUGCUUUUAUAAGUGAGGAAUAUGACGGUAACUUAUGAAUAAGAAUCGGCUAACUGCGUG